GGGGGCGACCAGGUUUCGACGGGGGUGGAAGAAGCGUGGGCUGCGUGCCGAGGACCCGCUGGCCUCGUAAAAAGCGGGACCAACUUAACUGCGAACGACAACUUCGCUCUUGCGGCCUAGAUAGGCCGCUCGUCCUCUCCGUGACUGUCUGCUAGCGGAAUCAGGGCGUCAAUCAGCGGACCUCAAGCCGGGGGGUGGCGAUGACCCGGCGCGAGUACUGGUCGCCUAGCGACGCGGAAAAGCGUGUCUGACGCGGUUCCGCCGGGCGAAUCACCAAAAGAAAGACUACGCACGUAGACGCCCAUGUGGAAGCACCUUCGGACGCGGGUUCGAUUCCCGCCGCCUCCACCA
rnacentral:tmRNA from 1 species